rnacentral:rRNA from 1 species
GACAGAGGGGGCAAGCGUUGCUCGGAAUUACUGGGCGUAAAGGGCGCGUAGGCGGGAUGGCAAGUCGGUCGUGAAAUCCCUCGGCUCAACCGAGGAACGUCGAUCGAUACUGCUGUUCUUGAGGAUUGCAGAGGAGACUGGAAUUCCCGGUGUAGCGGUGAAAUGUGUAGAGAUCGGGAGGAACACCGGUGGCGAAGGCGGCCUUCUGGACGAUGACUGACGCUGAAGCGCGAAAGCGUGGGGAGCAAACAGG